rnacentral:rRNA from 1 species
UUAAGCGACCAAGCGUACACGGUGGAUGCCCUGGCAGUCAGAGGCGAUGAAGGACGUGCUAAUCUGCGAUAAGCGCCGGUAAGGUGAUAUGAACCGUUAUAACCGGCGAUUUCCGAAUGGGGAAACCCAGUGUGAUUCGUCACACUAUCAUUAACUGAAUCCAUAGGUUAAUGAGGCGAACCGGGGGAACUGAAACAUCUAAGUACCCCGAGGAAAAGAAAUCAACCGAGAUUCCCCCAGUAGCGGCGAGCGAACGGGGAGGAGCCCAGAGCCUGAAUCAGCAUGUGUGUUAGUGGAAGCGUCUGGAAAGGCGCGCGAUACAGGGUGACAGCCCCGUACACAAAAGCGCAUAUGCUGUGAGCUCGAUGAGUAGGGCGGGACACGUGGUAUCCUGUCUGAAUAUGGGGGGACCAUCCUCCAAGGCUAAAUACUCCUGACUGACCGAUAGUGAACCAGUACCGUGAGGGAAAGGCGAAAAGAACCCCGGCGAGGGGAGUGAAACAGAACCUGAAACCGUGUACGUACAAGCAGUGGGAGCACAGGUUUACCUGUGUGACUGCGUACCUUUUGUAUAAUGGGUCAGCGACUUAUAUUCUGUAGCAAGGUUAACCGCAUAGGGGAGCCGAAGGGAAACCGAGUCUUAAUUGGGCGUUAAGUUGCAGGGUAUAGACCCGAAACCCGGUGAUCUAGCCAUGGGCAGGUUGAAGGUUGGGUAACACUAACUGGAGGACCGAACCGACUAAUGUUGAAAAAUUAGCGGAUGACCUGUGGCUGGGGGUGAAAGGCCAAUCAAACCGGGAGAUAGCUGGUUCUCCCCGAAAGCUAUUUAGGUAGCGCCUCGUGAACUCAUCUCCGGGGGUAGAGCACUGUUUCGGCUAGGGGGCCAUCCCGGCUUACCAACCCGAUGCAAACUGCGAAUACCGGAGAAUGUUAUCACGGGAGACACACGGCGGGUGCUAACGUCCGUCGUGAAGAGGGAAACAACCCAGACCGCCAGCUAAGGUCCCAAAGUCAUGGUUAAGUGGGAAACGAUGUGGGAAGGCCCAGACAGCCAGGAUGUUGGCUUAGAAGCAGCCAUCAUUUAAAGAAAGCGUAAUAGCUCACUGGUCGAGUCGGCCUGCGCGGAAGAUGUAACGGGGCUAAACCAUGCACCGAAGCUGCGGCAGCGACGCUUAGGCGUUGUUGGGUAGGGGAGCGUUCUGUAAGCCGUUGAAGGUGGCCUGUGAGGGUUGCUGGAGGUAUCAGAAGUGCGAAUGCUGACAUAAGUAACGAUAAAGCGGGUGAAAAGCCCGCUCGCCGGAAGACCAAGGGUUCCUGUCCAACGUUAAUCGGGGCAGGGUGAGUCGACCCCUAAGGCGAGGCCGAAAGGCGUAGUCGAUGGGAAACGGGUUAAUAUUCCCGUACUUGGUGUUACUGCGAAGGGGGGACGGAGAAGGCUAUGUUGGCCGGGCGACGGUUGUCCCGGUUUAAGCGUGUAGGCUGACUUUCCAGGCAAAUCCGGAGAGUCAAGGCUGAGGCGUGACGACGAGGCACUACGGUGCUGAAGCAACAAAUGCCCUGCUUCCAGGAAAAGCCUCUAAGCAUCAGGUAACAUCAAAUCGUACCCCAAACCGACACAGGUGGUCAGGUAGAGAAUACCAAGGCGCUUGAGAGAACUCGGGUGAAGGAACUAGGCAAAAUGGUGCCGUAACUUCGGGAGAAGGCACGCUGACAUGUAGGUGAAGCGGUUUACCCGUGGAGCUGAAGUCAGUCGAAGAUACCAGCUGGCUGCAACUGUUUAUUAAAAACACAGCACUGUGCAAACACGAAAGUGGACGUAUACGGUGUGACGCCUGCCCGGUGCCGGAAGGUUAAUUGAUGGGGUCAGCGCAAGCGAAGCUCCUGAUCGAAGCCCCGGUAAACGGCGGCCGUAACUAUAACGGUCCUAAGGUAGCGAAAUUCCUUGUCGGGUAAGUUCCGACCUGCACGAAUGGCGUAAUGAUGGCCAGGCUGUCUCCACCCGAGACUCAGUGAAAUUGAACUCGCUGUGAAGAUGCAGUGUACCCGCGGCAAGACGGAAAGACCCCGUGAACCUUUACUAUAGCUUGACACUGAACAUUGAGCCUUGAUGUGUAGGAUAGGUGGGAGGCUUUGAAGCGUGGACGCCAGUCUGCGUGGAGCCAACCUUGAAAUACCACCCUUUAAUGUUUGAUGUUCUAACGUGGACCCGUGAUCCGGGUUGCGGACAGUGUCUGGUGGGUAGUUUGACUGGGGCGGUCUCCUCCUAAAGAGUAACGGAGGAGCACGAAGGUUGGCUAAUCCUGGUCGGACAUCAGGAGGUUAGUGCAAUGGCAUAAGCCAGCUUGACUGCGAGCGUGACGGCGCGAGCAGGUGCGAAAGCAGGUCAUAGUGAUCCGGUGGUUCUGAAUGGAAGGGCCAUCGCUCAACGGAUAAAAGGUACUCCGGGGAUAACAGGCUGAUACCGCCCAAGAGUUCAUAUCGACGGCGGUGUUUGGCACCUCGAUGUCGGCUCAUCACAUCCUGGGGCUGAAGUAGGUCCCAAGGGUAUGGCUGUUCGCCAUUUAAAGUGGUACGCGAGCUGGGUUUAGAACGUCGUGAGACAGUUCGGUCCCUAUCUGCCGUGGGCGCUGGAGAAUUGAGGGGGGCUGCUCCUAGUACGAGAGGACCGGAGUGGACGCAUCACUGGUGUUCGGGUUGUCAUGCCAAUGGCACUGCCCGGUAGCUAAAUGCGGAAGAGAUAAGUGCUGAAAGCAUCUAAGCACGAAACUUGCCCCGAGAUGAGUUCUCCCUGAGACUUAGAGUCUCCUGAAGGAACGUUGAAGACGACGACGUUGAUAGGCCGGGUGUGUAAGCGCAGCGAUGCGUUGAGCUAACCGGUACUAAUGAACCGUGAGGCUUAACCUU